AACAGGAGAAAUUUAGGAGAAAUACUCCAAUUUUGAAAAUAUUUAUAAAUCUUACCUCAGUGUUAAAAAGUUAAACAAAAUACUUCCCGUUUUUUAGCUUUUUCUGUUUUUACUCUAUACAAUAUAUUUAUUUGUUUUAAUACCAAAUUCUUCGAACAAAAUACGCUAAACUUUUGUAGCUUUAUCUUUUUACUCCGUCUUUAUUAUUCGUCUUCUUCGAUGAAUCUACAACCAUGAUUUUCAAUUUUUCUCUCAACUCUCCAAUUUUUCUUUCCAGAUCUCAAUUAUUUCAAUUUCUUAUGAAACAAUUAACAAGCUGAAGGCGAGCAACAAAAAUCAAAAAUUGAAAAAGAAAAGGAAAAAGUUGUGAGGAGCAGUGAGAUGAAGAUGUCGUUGAACCCAACGAGGAUCUAAACUUGCAGAUUCUUGAGAAAGUGCUUCUAAGUUCUAAUAACAAUUUAUGUGUGAUGUAAAUUUACCUAAUUUUAAUAGUCUUUAUUGCGAUGAAAAACGAUUCAGUUUCAUGUGGUUGAAAUCUAAUAUAUCGGUUCUCGAAUUCGAUUUUAUUUUUCUGAAUGUCUUAGUGUUAGCUUGUUGCUCUUCAUGCUUCGCUUUGCUCCGACGAUUGAGAGCUCGGCUGAACUUGUUGCUGCUCUUCCUAUCUCACGGUGCUCCGGCGAUUGAGAGCCCGACGGAGCUUGUUGUUGCUUUUUCCCACAACUGAAAGUGUGUUUAGUGGUGAAAUAUUUGAAGUGGAGAGGCUAAUUGGUGCGUUGGAAGGGGUAUGGUCUAAGUGAAGACACUUGGGAGCCUAUUGAAGGCAUGAGGGAGAUGUUUAUUUUAUUCGUGGAGGCCCUCCAUGUCAAGAAAUCAGUGGCUUUAAUCUAUUCAGGAACACAAAAGCUCCCUUAGAUGAUCCCAAGGACCAUCAAAUGGUUAUAUAUAUGGAUAUUGUAGAGCAUUUAAAGCCAAAGUAUGUCCUCAUGGAAAAUGUUGUGGACAUUUCAAAGAUAUAUUGACUAUGACUUCUUUUA